rnacentral:lncRNA from 1 species
GUCGUUACCUACCUGAGCCCAGAAUUUAAACAAAACUUUUUCUUAAGAAUAGUAUUUUGUGUGCAGUAAUGAGAGUAGCUUGAACCCUUCCAGCCUUUGAAGUUUGCUGCAUCUUUCAGGUAGUGGACAUGCCGUGUGGAAGCAUGAGUGGCACGAGGGUGACUCAGACUCUGUGCAAGUCUGACAGUGCUGUGAGGCUCCCUACUCUCCCCCCUGCACCCUGCUUGUUGAAUUGCAAAUGAAGUACAGCCAGGAGGACCACCUGCAAACACGGUGUUCAAAGAGUGCAGACCAGCACUACGUUACUGCAAGAUAAUAUGUAGAAAAUGUGCAUAUAAAGCAGAGCGCAUCUCUUGGCACACACAUGAGGUUGCCCAAGAGGACCCAGACCCGCCCCACUACUCCAGGUUGUGUCCUGUCUUAUGGACUACUACAGAAUCACUAAAACCAUCGCACACAAAGGCACCACGGGACUCCCACCAUCACCAGAGCUCUCCGCCUGCCUCUGGCGCUAGCUGUCAGAACCGCUUCAGCUGAAAUCAAGGUAAAGAAUCAGCAGCACUAAAUACUACAGGACAAAGGCAUAAACUAGCUUUGUAACCCUGGGCAACCUGGAUGUUUGCUGACUGACAGUGUGAAUG